UUGUCUUGUAAAUACUAAGAGUGGUAAGUAUGUCCAUCCAAUCUUGAGAUCCUCCUCUAACCCAAGGAUAUUUUACUUUCAUUAGCAUUUGGAUUGUGUGUUGACAUUGCCCCAGUAAUCUAGCAUAUGUCACCUCCUUUCCAUGUUUUCUAGCAUUCCUCCUUUUCCAUAACUCCCACAAAAUAAUUGUUGGUAUUGCCUUGAGGAUUUGCUUCUCCUUACACUGUCUUGGCCAGUCCCACCAAAUAGUAAUAAGUUGUUGCAAGUGAACUCCUUCGAUGGUAAUACCUGCAUAUGAAACAAAGUGCUUCCAUAGCUUUUGUGCUAUGGGAGCUGUUUGAAAAAGGUGUUGCAUUGUUUCCGCC
rnacentral:lncRNA from 1 species